AACGAACGCUGGCGGCAGGCUUAACACAUGCAAGUCGAGCGCAUCCUUCGGGGUGAGCGGCAGACGGGUGAGUAACACGUGGGGAUCUGCCCAAUGGUACGGAAUAGCUCCGGGAAACUGGAAUUAAUACCGUAUGUGCCCUUCGGGGGAAAGAUUUAUCGCCAUUGGAUGAACCCGCGUCUGAUUAGCUAGUUGGUGUGGUAAAGGCGCACCAAGGCGACGAUCAGUAGCUGGUCUGAGAGGAUGAUCAGCCACACUGGGACUGAGACACGGCCCAGACUCCUACGGGAGGCAGCAGUGGGGAAUAUUGGACAAUGGGCGCAAGCCUGAUCCAGCCAUGCCGCGUGAGUGAUGAAGGCCUUAGGGUUGUAAAGCUCUUUCGCCGACGAAGAUAAUGACGGUAGUCGGAGAAGAAGCCCCGGCUAACUUCGUG
rnacentral:rRNA from 1 species